GGGGAUAUAGUUUAAUUGGAUAAAAUACUGCCCUGUCACGGCAAUGUUCCGAGUUCAAUCCUCGGUGUCCUCG
rnacentral:tRNA from 1 species